CCUACGGGAGGCAGCAGUGGGGAAUAUUGGGCAAUGGAGGAAACUCUGACCCAGCAAUGCCGCGUGAAUGAAGAAGGUCUUCGGAUUGUAAAGUUCUUUAGUCAGGGAAGAAGUCAAUGACGGUACCUGAAGAAUAAGCUCCGGCUAACUACGUGCCAGCAGCCGCGGUAAUACGUAGGGGGCAAGCGUUAUCCGGAUUUACUGGGUGUAAAGGGAGCGUAGACGGCUAAUCAAGUCAGAAGUGAAAACCCAGGGCUCAACUUUGGGACUGCUUUUGAAACUGAGUAGCUAGAGUGCAGGAGAGGUAAGCGGAAUUCCUAGUGUAGCGGUGAAAUGCGUAGAUAUUAGGAGGAACACCAGUGGCGAAGGCGGCUUACUGGACUGUAACUGACGUUGAGGCUCGAAAGCGUGGGGAGCAAACAGGAUUAGAUACCCCUGUAGUC
rnacentral:rRNA from 1 species